rnacentral:rRNA from 1 species
UACGUAGGGGGCUAGCGUUGUCCGGAAUCAUUGGGCGUAAAGCGUGCGCAGGCGGUUUUGUAAGCCAGAUGUGAAAGCCCCGGGCUUAACCUGGGAAUGGCAUUUGGGACUGCAAGGCUUGAGUGCGGCAGAGGAGACUGGAAUUCCUGGUGUAGCAGUGAAAUGCGUAGAUAUCAGGAGGAAUACCGAUGGCGAAGGCAGGUCUCUGGGCUGACACUGACGCUCAUGCACGAAGCGUGGGGAGCAAACAAGGAUU